rnacentral:rRNA from 1 species
AUUGAACGCUGGCGGCAUGCCUUACACAAGCAAGUCGAACGGUAACAGGUCUUCGGAUGCUGACGAGUGGCGAACGGGUGAGUAAUACAUCGGAACGUGCCUAGUAGUGGGGGAUAACUACUCGAAAGAGUGGCUAAUACCGCAUGAGAUCUACGGAUGAAAGCAGGGGAUCGCAAGACCUUGUGCUACUAGAGCGGCCGAUGGCAGAUUAGGUAGUUGGUGGGAUAAAAGCUUACCAAGCCGACGAUCUGUAGCUGGUCUGAGAGGACGAUCAGCCACACUGGGACUGAGAAACGGCCCAGACUCCUACGGGAGGCAGCAGUGGGGAAUUUUGGACAAUGGGCGCAAGCCUGAUCCAGCAAUGCCGCGUGCAGGAUGAAGGCCUUCGGGUUGUAAACUGCUUUUGUACGGAACGAAAAGCCCCGGGUUAAUACCCUGGGGUCAUGACGGUGCCGUAAGAAUAAGCACCGGCUAACUACGUGCCAGCCGCCGCUGUAA